CCGCCCGCGGGCCAAAACAAAUUUCACACUUAAUGUCUGGCUGUGUUUAUGAAUAAUUAUAGGCUCAAUAUAGACACCCAAUAUGCCAUAUUAAAGCUUAGAAUCUCUGCUUUCUUAGUUAUUUAGCAUAUUUAGCUGUAUUUCCUUUCAGAAAAUAAAAAAAAUCAGUUAAUUAUUAAUUAGUUGCUAGAUAUAUGCAUUUUCAAUCACUUUCUUUUUUGUCAACAGUUGCAGUACUGACAUUCAUUGUUUGCUGAUCUUGACGUUCCAAGUGAACAAGAAAGAGAGAGAACUACAGUGCUUGGUUCCCUGUUAUUGCCUGGUAGGGGUGACCCGAGGCCUUGCUACCAGGUUACAAGUUUACCUGGUUUUGAAGAUCUCUCUUUUUCUUUAUUCCCAAUCCCCCUUUUCUAUCAUCUCUUUUUUCGUCCAAUCCCCUUUCUAUCCACUUGCACCUGCAAGUACAACGAUAAAGGGCAUUCAGUUGAACCCCUGAAAACGGAACUCUUGAAAACCCCCUGAAAACGAAACUCUUGAAAAAUAACCCCUUGAAAUCUAAACUCUUGAAAAGGAAGGGCAUUCAGUUGACCCCUAAACAACGGUUUGAAAAGGGCAUUCAGUUGACCCCUAAACAACGGUUUGAAAAGGGCAUUCAGUUGACCCCUAAACAACGGUUUGAAAAGGGCAUUCAGUUGACCCCUGGAAACGGAAAUCUUGAAAAAAGAUCCCCUUGGCAAACUUGUUUCCCUCAUUUAACCCUGUAUAGUGUUUCCUUGUGAUUGGUUUCAGGUCAGACAAUUCUCUAAAGAAGCAAACUCUUCACCCGAAGACAGUCAUCACAUUGACCGCGGCAUCUGGAGCUGAAGACACACACAUUCACAUUAUCGACUGAAGCUGCAGUUACCUGUCAUUUCUUAUAGCAGUAUAUUGUGAUUUAAAAACAUACAGCUUCUUACAGUGUGUACAUACCACAUUUAAUACAUUUGGUAAAAAAUACAGUCUAUUAAAAUAUUUGUUGCUGAACCUUUUUACACAUUAAAUACGUAAUUAUUUCAUAAAAAGUUAUUUCUUUUAGCAGUUGUCUUUUGUAAGCUUGUUUCCUACAGAGGUAUAAUCACAUUUUUGGGUUGUGAGUGUGUUUUAAGGAGAUACAAUUGCAUCUAGAUACUGGAUUGUAGUAUAUAAGAAAGCUGUUUGAGUGUACAAUUUAAGGGGAAAAUUACGUUUUGAGAAGUUAUUAAUAAAAAAAUAAUUUUUACAUAUA